UGGGAAUCUUGCACAAUGGGCGAAAGCCUGAUGCAGCAACGCCGCGUGCGGGAAGACAGCCCUAGGGUUGUAAACCGCUUUCAGCAGGGAAGAAACUGACGGUACCUGCAGAAGAAGAUGCGGCCAACUACGUGCCAGCAGCCGCGUGACACGUAGGCAUCAAGCGUUAUCCGGAUUUAUUGGGCGUAAAGAGCUCGUAGGCGGUUCGGUAAGUCGGGUGUGAAAACUCUGGGCUCAACCCAGAGAGGCCACUCGAUACUGCUGUGACUAGAGUGCGGUAGGGGAGCGGGGAAUUCCUGGUGUAGCGGUGAAAUGCGCAGAUAUCAGGAGGAACACCAGUGGCGAAGGCGCCGCUCUGGGCCGUAACUGACGCUGAGGAGCGAAA
rnacentral:rRNA from 1 species